UACGCAGGGGGCUAGCGUUGCUCGGAAUCACUGGGCGUAAAGCGCACGUAGGCGGAUGUGUCAGUCAGGGGUGAAAUCCCGGAGCUCAACUUCGGAACUGCCCUUGAUACAGCACGUCUCGAGUCCGAGAGAGGUGAGUGGAAUUCCUAGUGUAGAGGUGAAAUUCGUAGAUAUUAGGAAGAACACCAGUGGCGAAGGCGGCUCACUGGCUCGGUACUGACGCUGAGGUGCGAAAGCGUGGGGAGCAAACAGG
rnacentral:rRNA from 1 species